rnacentral:rRNA from 1 species
AUUCCGACACGGAGAGGUAGUGACAACAAAUACCAAUACGCGGCCCACAAGGGUCGCGUAAUUGGAAUGAGCACAAUUUAAACCCCUUAGCGAGGAGCCAUUGGAGGGCAAGUCUGGUGCCAGCAGCCGCGGUAAUUCCAGCUCCAAUAGCGUAUACUAAAGUUGUUGCGGUUAAAAAGCUCGUAGUUGAAUUUCGGGACCUCCGGUGAGCGGUCUGCGGGUUCCCGUAUGCACUGCCGCCGAGGUCCUUUCCUUCUGGAUGCUCGCCGCUGGUCUUGGCUGAUUGGCGGUCGAGGGUCGCUUGCGGCCCGGAGUUCCAGAUCGGUUCCUUUGAACAAAUUAGAGUGCCCAAGGCAGGCAAUUUUGCCACUGUCUAAAUUAGCAUGGGAUAACGCCAUAGGACUCCGGACCUAUUUCGUUGGUUUCUAGGACCGGAGUAAUGAUUAAUAGGGAUAGUUGGGGUGAUUAAUAUUUCAUUGUCAGAGGUGAAAUUCUUGGAUUCUUGAAAGAUUAACUUCUGCGAAAGCAUUUCACAAGGAUGUUUUCAUUAAUCAAGAACGAAAGUUGGGGGAUCGAAGACGAUCAGAUACCGUCGUAGUCCUAACCAUAAACUAUGCCGACCAGGGAUCGGAUGACGUUGUUCAUAUGACUCCUCCGGCACCUUGUGAGAAAUCACAAGUGUUUGGGCUUCGGGGGGAGUAUGGUCGCAAGGCUGAAACUUAAAGGAAUUGACGGAAGGGCACCACCAGGAGUGGAGCCUGCGGCUUAAUUUGACCCAACACGGGGAAACUUACCAGGUCCAGACAGCAGAAGGAUUGACAGAUUGAGAGCUCUUUCUUGAUUUGCUGGGUGGUGGUGCAUGGCCGUUCUUAGUUGGUGGAGUGAUUUGUCUGGUUAAUUCCGUUAACGAACGAGACCUUAACCUGCUAACUAGUCACGCGGGCCACGCUCCGCCGCGGGGUUCGCUCAUGCGGUGGACGGCUCAGCGGCCGACUUCUUAGAGGGACUAUUCGUGUUCAGCGAAUGGAAGUUUGAGGCAAUAACAGGUCAGUGAUGCCCUUCGAUGUUCUGGGCUGCACGCGCGCUACACUGAUGGACUCAACGAGUUUUUCACCUUGGUCGGAAGGCCUGGGUAAUCUUAUCAAAGUCCAUCGUGCUGGGGAUAGAUCAUUGCAAUUAUUGAUCUUCAACGAGGAAUUCCUAGUAAGCGCGAGUCAUCAGCUCGCGUUGAUUACGUCCCUGCCCUUUGUACACACCGCCCGUCGCUCCUACCGAUUGGAUGGUCAGGUGAAGACGCGGGAUGGGAUGCGCAUACCGUCGGGCGACUGGCGGCGGCGCGUUCCAGAACACGCCUAAACCUUACCAUCU